GAACUCCAGGUAGGUCGCCAUGGGGCUGCAGCAGCUCUGGAAGGACUGAAGCAGCACACGUUCAGGCAGGUUGUCUCAAACCUCAGCAAACCCAGCAAAGAAAGACGAAAAUCUGACAAUCAACGCCCGAAUGCGAGGGCAGCCAUACCAGGAUGAGACAGCAGAUGGCACUCGAACAGCACCAGACGAACAACCACCGCUCCACCUCCAGUAAAGAAAUGCUGCAAUCUGCCUAGGACUUACUUAGUGGAGAACAGGAUUCUGCAGUUAAGACUAAAGAAGACUGAAGUCUUCAGGCACAGCUGCCUGUCUAAUGCCUUUAGCCUCUCAGAAAUGAGCAGCCCUGAGGGGGAAAAAAUAGUAAUAAUAAUUUUUGCUGUU